rnacentral:misc_RNA from 1 species
AAAAGUACUAAUUCUAAUUUUUCAUUAAUUAUAACAAUGCUCUAUUUUCUUAAAUUUCGCUUUGAUUUAAAAUGGCACAAUCUCGACGUAUAUUUCCGUUUCUACCCGUCUUGACUCUGAGCGGGCCGCACUUUGUGAUGGCGGCGACAAAGGCUAUCUGAAAGGCUGGGAAGUUGGUGGCCCAUGCAUUAACAGUGGGUCUGGAUCUUGGGUCUGAAAAGAGGACUUGGUCGAAGGCGAAGAGGUGAUGGUACACGUUGUCAAAGCUAUUGGGUGUGUUCGGCUCCAUAUUGAUGGCUAUCCUGGAAUCCACGUUUCUGGGGCACUUCUGCUGUAGCUGAGUUGCGUAGGCCCUGUUGAGUGUAGGGUCUACUGGAUUUUGA